AAAUGACAAUUGAAAAAAUAAUCUUUUUCAGCAUAUAACAUACACAAAGAAGAAAAACAUAACUUAUAGCAAUCAAUCAAGUCAAGAAAUAUUAAUACAAUACAAUAAAGCAUAAGAGAGAAGAAAAACAUACUGUAAAUCAUUGACACGGCGAGAAGUCCUGCGCUCAACAUUCCUAACAGAUAAAGGUUCAUCCCCUAAUGAAAAUUGCUUAAUCUCAACUCUUUCAACAUAAUCAGGCUUCUCUAAAUCAUCAAUAACAGGUUGAAGCAACCCAAUAACCCAAUUUUCAAGUCCACCUCUAUAAACCUUCCACAACUUCCCCAAAACCAUGUUCACCCAUUCAACCGACUCUUUCCUCUGCAAAUCCUUUUCCAAAAACAAAGAAAAACUAGUAGGCACUUGAGGCCACACACCACGAAAACUAUCUUCACUACUACUAACUUUGUUUCUCCUUUUCCUAAAAGUCCACAAUUUAUCAAAAACAACACCAACAAAGAAAAAAAANAAUUGGAAUAAUGCCAAAUUUAAGAGAAAGACUUAAAAGCAUGCGGGCACCUCCAGUAUACCUAAGGCCUAUCUGGUACCUAGAUAACACCAAGGGAAAUAAAUUGCUUAUAUUAAGCAUAUGAUAAUAAAGAAUAAAUAACACAAUAGCCUUGGAUCUAAGAAUAUAAAUCCAAAAAUAGAAUUACUAUCCAAAAUCCAAAACUAAUCCUUUCUACAAAAAGAUAUGAUCAAAAACAUUACCAGAAUAGCAAUUCUAGUUCAAAUGAAGAGCAUACUAAGCUAAAAGAUCAAUUUUUUCCAAUAUCUGAUAGCCAACAAAACAUUUAACUUAAGCUAUAAUAUGACGACCGACAACACACCACACGGAAAAAAGCCAGUCUAUUCCCUUGCCUCAUGCCACAAAAAAUGAAAUACCAUGUCAUUGCCUUAUCAUCAUUUUAAAAUUCUCAUUACAAUAACUGAAACAUACCCGGAUGACAAUUUGAUGAGUAUUAUUCCAAUGAGGACACAUGCAUAUAUAAAAAUAAAAAACCUCAGCUUGAAAAUGACAAUUGAAAAAAUAAUCUUUUUCAGCAUAUAACAUACACAAAGAAGAAAAACAUAACUUAUAGCAAUCAAUCAAGUCAAGAAAUAUUAAUACAAUACAAUAAAGCAUAAGAGAGAAGAAAAACAUACUGUAAAUCAUUGACACGGCGAGAAGUCCUGCGCUCAACAUUCCUAACAGAUAAAGGUUCAUCCCCUAAUGAAAAUUGCUUAAUCUCAACUCUUUCAACAUAAUCAGGCUUCUCUAAAUCAUCAAUAACAGGUUGAAGCAACCCAAUAACCCAAUUUUCAAGUCCACCUCUAUAAACCUUCCACAACUUCCCCAAAACCAUGUUCACCCAUUCAACCGACUCUUUCCUCUGCAAAUCCUUUUCCAAAAACAAAGAAAAACUAGUAGGCACUUGAGGCCACACACCACGAAAACUAUCUUCA
rnacentral:lncRNA from 1 species